rfam:Thecamonas trahens ATCC 50062 unplaced genomic scaffold supercont1.23, whole genome shotgun sequence.
GAACCUGUGGCGUAGAGGUUUAGCGCGUUUGGUUUUGAUCCAGAAGAUCGUCGGUUCGAUCCCGGCCAGGUUCG